rnacentral:lncRNA from 1 species
GUGGGUUUGAUAUAUGAACUUGACUUUAAUUUCAUAAUCCAUUAAAUGGGUUAAGUCAAGUUACUAUUUUUUCACUUUUUGUUGUUUGUAAUUUGGUGGUAUUGGUUUUAUAUACUUAAAGCCUAAUGGUGACUUGCACUUGUUUCAUCCUCGAUUUAAGUUAUUUGUUUUUGGUAGAUAGUUGUCUCAUUAGUAAAUGUAUCACAU